rnacentral:rRNA from 1 species
UGGGGAAUAUUGGACAAUGGGCGAAAGCCUGAUCCAGCCAUGCCGCGUGUGUGAAGAAGGUCUUCGGAUUGUAAAGCACUUUAAGUUGGGAGGAAGGGCAGUAAGCGAAUACCUUGCUGUUUUGACGUUACCGACAGAAUAAGCACCGGCUAACUCUGUGCCAGCAGCCGCGGUAAUACAGAGGGUGCAAGCGUUAAUCGGAAUUACUGGGCGUAAAGCGCGCGUAGGUGGUUCGUUAAGUUGAAUGUGAAAGCCCCGGGCCCAACCGGGGACUGGAACCAAAACCUGCCAGGUGAGAGUAGGCAAGGGGUUGUUGGAAUUCCUGGUGUACCGGUGAAAUGCUUGGAUAUGGGAAGGAACACCGGUGGCGAAGGCGCCCCCUUGGGCUCUUACUGCCCCUGAGUUGCGAAAGCGUGGGAGCAAACAGG